rnacentral:tRNA from 1 species
GGACGUAUGGGGUAGCUUGGAUAUCCUGAGAGCUUGCGGAGCUUUUGACUUGGGUUCGAAUCCCAGUACGUCCG